rnacentral:rRNA from 1 species
GCUAAUACCGCAUAAUAGCUUCGGCUCAAAGAGGGGGACCUUCGGGCCUCUCGCGUCAGGAUAUGCCCAGGUGGGAUUAGCUAGUUGGCGAGGUAAUGGCUCACCAAGGCGACGAUCCCUAACUGGUCUGAGAGGAUGAUCAGCCACACUGGAACUGAGACACGGUCCAGACUCCUACGGGAGGCAGCAGUGGGGAAUAUUGCACAAUGGGCGCAAGCCUGAUGCAGCCAUGCCGCGUGUAUGAAGAAGGCCUUCGGGUUGUAAAGUACUUUCAGCAGUGAGGAAGGCGGGUACGUUAAUAGCGUAUUCGUUUGACGUUAGCUGCAGAAGAAGCACCGGCUAACUCCGUGCCAGCAGCCGCGGUAAUACGGAGGGUGCGAGCGUUAAUCGGAAUUACUGGGCGUAAAGCGCAUGCAGGUGGUUUGUUAAGUCAGAUGUGAAAGCCCGGGGCUCAACCUCGGAAUAGCAUUUGAAACUGGCAGACUAGAGUACUGUAGAGGGGGGUAGAAUUUCAGGUGUAGCGGUGAAAUGCGUAGAAAUCUGAAGGAAUACCGGUGGCGAAGGCGGCCCCCUGGA